GUGCUCAGUUCAGUAGCAUAUAUACUAAAGUUGGAAUACUACAAAGAAGAUUAGAAUGGCCCCUGCAAAAAAUGACAUGCAAAUUCAUAAAGCAUUUUAUAUUUUU